GUCGUACGCUUCUUUUUCCCCGGAGCUUGCUCCACCGGAAAAAGAAGAGUGGCGAACGGGUGAGUAACACGUGGGUAACCUGCCCAUCAGAAGGGGAUAACACUUGGAAACAGGUGCUAAUACCGUAUAACAAUCGAAACCGCAUGGUUUUGAUUUGAAAGGCGCUUUCGGGUGUCGCUGAUGGAUGGACCCGCGGUGCAUUAGCUAGUUGGUGAGGUAACGGCUCACCAAGGCCACGAUGCAUAGCCGACCUGAGAGGGUGAUCGGCCACAUUGGGACUGAGACACGGCCCAAACUCCUACGGGAGGCAGCAGUAGGGAAUCUUCGGCAAUGGACGAAAGUCUGACCGAGCAACGCCGCGUGAGUGAAGAAGGUUUUCGGAUCGUAAAACUCUGUUGUUAGAGAAGAACAAGGAUGAGAGUAACUGUUCAUCCCUUGACGGUAUCUAACCAGAAAGCCACGGCUAACUACGUGCCAGCAGCCGCGGUAAUACGUAGGUGGCAAGCGUUGUCCGGAUUUAUUGGGCGUAAAGCGAGCGCAGGCGGUUUCUUAAGUCUGAUGUGAAAGCCCCCGGCUCAACCGGGGAGGGUCAUUGGAAACUGGGAGACUUGAGUGCAGAAGAGGAGAGUGGAAUUCCAUGUGUAGCGGUGAAAUGCGUAGAUAUAUGGAGGAACACCAGUGGCGAAGGCGGCUCUCUGGUCUGUAACUGACGCUGAGGCUCGAAAGCGUGGGGAGCAAACAGGAUUAGAUACCCUGGUAGUCCACGCCGUAAACGAUGAGUGCUAAGUGUUGGAGGGUUUCCGCCCUUCAGUGCUGCAGCUAACGCAUUAAGCACUCCGCCUGGGGAGUACGACCGCAAGGUUGAAACUCAAAGGAAUUGACGGGGGCCCGCACAAGCGGUGGAGCAUGUGGUUUAAUUCGAAGCAACGCGAAGAACCUUACCAGGUCUUGACAUCCUUUGACCACUCUAGAGAUAGAGCUUCCCCUUCGGGGGCAAAGUGACAGGUGGUGCAUGGUUGUCGUCAGCUCGUGUCGUGAGAUGUUGGGUUAAGUCCCGCAACGAGCGCAACCCUUAUUGUUAGUUGCCAUCAUUUAGUUGGGCACUCUAGCAAGACUGCCGGUGACAAACCGGAGGAAGGUGGGGAUGACGUCAAAUCAUCAUGCCCCUUAUGACCUGGGCUACACACGUGCUACAAUGGGAAGUACAACGAGUCGCGAAGUCGCGAGGCUAAGCUAAUCUCUUAAAGCUUCUCUCAGUUCGGAUUGUAGGCUGCAACUCGCCUACAUGAAGCCGGAAUCGCUAGUAAUCGCGGAUCAGCACGCCGCGGUGAAUACGUUCCCGGGCCUUGUACACACCGCCCGUCACACCACGAGAGUUUUAACACCCGAAGUCGGUGAGG
rnacentral:rRNA from 1 species